rnacentral:rRNA from 1 species
UGGGGAAUAUUGGACAAUGGGCGAAAGCCUGAUCCAGCCAUGCCGCGUGUGUGAAGAAGGCCUUCGGGUUGUAAAGCACUUUUGUACGGGAAGAAAAGCAACUGGUUAAUACCCGGUUGUUCUGACGGUACCGUAAGAAUAAGCACCGGCUAACUUCGUGCCAGCAGCCGCGGUAAUACGAAGGGUGCAAGCGUUACUCGGAAUUACUGGGCGUAAAGCGUGCGUAGGUGGUUUGUUAAGUCUGAUGUGAAAGCCCUGGGCUCAACCUGGGAAUGGCAUUGGAUACUGGCAGUCUAGAGUGUGGGAGAGGGUAGCGGAAUUCCCGGUGUAGCAGUGAAAUGCGUAGAUAUCGGGAGGAACAUCCGUGGCGAAGGCGGCUACCUGGACCAACACUGACACUGAGGCACGAAAGCGUGGGGAGCAAACA